rnacentral:rRNA from 1 species
GUCCUAGCCGUAAACGUUGGAUACUAGGUGUGGGAGGUAUCGACCCCUUCCGUGCCGAAGUUAACACAUUAAGUAUCCCGCCUGGGGAGUACGGUCGCAAGACUGAAACUCAAAAGAAUUGACGGGGGCCCGCACAAGCGGUGGAGCAUGUGGUUCAAUUCGACGCAACGCGAAGAACCUUACCAGGGUUUGACAUGUAGGUAGUAGGAACCUGAAAAGGGGACGAUCCGGUAGUAAUAUCGGAAGCUUACACAGGUGCUGCAUGGCUGUCGU